UUCUCACAGAGGGAGGGGUGAGCUGUUGCUGAACAUAAAGACCUGACCAUGAUGGGCUACAGAUACAGAGUUGGAGGACGAAGGGGUAAACUGUUGGAAUAGUAUUCCUGAGCCUGAACCAGGAGACCAGAUGGAGGCGUCAAAAAAAUCAGGACAAAGAACAGAAGCAGGCCAAUCCACCAUGUCAGAGCCCAUCAGACGAAGAAACUCCAGCAGAGAGCUGCUGCAAAACCUCAUCCAGGUGACGUUCCAGCGGAGCCUUGAGGAUGCUGAGGAGGUGGAGCGAGAGCGCAGGAGGAGAACUAGGGAGAGGCAGAGAGACCAAGUGACGUCUCUGUCAAUGCCUCAGCAGGAAAAUAAACCAUUUUCUGAAGUGUCGGAUGAAGAAGUGAAGCCUAGUUGCUGCUUUGUUCAGGAGGAGGAUGAGGGUUUCAGUGACUGGAGCCACAGGUUGGAGAAGCGUAAUGUUCUUCGGGACUUCAGGGUCAAGGCGCAAGAACCUUCAUCAUUUCAGUGGGAAGCAGGCAUUAAUAAAGAGAAACAGCAGAAUGAUGAAGAGCAGGAGGAAUGGCAGCCAAAACAGAGAGCUCAUGGGCUGCAGUCCACCAGAAGCCCUCCACUGAGCAAAAGAGACGUGUUUCUGACAAAUGAUCCAAGACAACAGCAGGCCAGCGACCCUCCGACAGACACAAUGCCCGACUUAACGACUGGAAGGAUGAGUGACAAGGUGAAGCAAGACAAAGAAGAGGUGCGUCAGAUUUUGCCGAACGAGUGGAGAGCUGGCGCUAGCGCUAACAAACCAACAUACGAAGUUGAUCAAGAAGAGGAUCACAACUUCACACAUGAAGGGAUGAAGGAAAGGCUUGCAGAGUUUGAUAGAAACCAAAAUCUGACAGAAAAGAGGUCAAGGGAAGAAGAACACAGAAGUGAUGACGAUAAAAGCAGGCCGUCCGGCCUUUCCGUUUACAGCAAUGAAGAAGAUGAGACAUUAAACUGCUAUGGAGCCAUGAGCCCAACAUUCAAGAAACUCCUCAUUCAGUUUUACCCAGAUGAGGCGAAGAGCAGAAUACCAGCAGAUGGUAAAUGUGUGAUCACCGAGCGAACCGAAUCUCUGCGAAAAAGUUCCAACAUCAAAAAGAAGAUUCCACAACCUCUUUGUGUUUCCAAGAUUGACAAGAAACUCCAGCAGUAUACACAUGCUCUUGAGGUUUCCACAAAGGAAUGCAAACCAGCUAGUCCAGUCCUUGUGGAUGUGAUAAGUCCCAUUGCACAAAAAAAGAAUCUUUUUGAGGCUGGAGUGGCAUGGAACCAAAACACUCUCUCAAACACACCACCAAAGGAAAUAAAACCCGGUGAUGUUUUAAACAAGAAAAAUGUGUGGGAAAACUUCAGCGAAAUUGUUUCUCCCACUUCUUCUGUGAGGAAUAGCAAGGAAUCCUCAACUGGUAAAAAGUCUAAAUUUGUUGUGAUGGCUCAUGGCAAAUAUGAGAAGCCUACUGAUGAGGAUGCUGGCAGUGACGAUGCAAACUGGACAGCACAGGAGCAACAGGAGGCAGGUCUGCAACUUGAGAAGGUGUUGGGUCGGAACCAUAGUUUAGGAUGGCUGAGGAUGGUGUCAGGUUAUGAGUUGAUAUUUUAGGAUUGGACUCUGACACAGUGAUAGGAUGGUCUGUCGUGUCUGACCUAAGAGAAUCCAGUGACACUGAAUUGAAAGCAUCUUGAGGUGAGGAUGAUGGAAUCCACUGCAUUCUUGGUGCGGUGGACGAAUUUAAAGGUGGCAUCACUUCAUCAAAUAAAAAUGCGGAGCAUUCAUAUAGUGGUGCCACCUGCUCUCCAGAAGUCUUAAUCUGUCUUUUGUAGGUAUGUGGCAGAUUGCCAUCCCAUUUCUUGUAGGAGCUGCUUUCAAGAAGAGGAAAUGUAGAUGCAGAUUGAUCAAAGGAGUCUAGUGGAAGAGCAGACCACAAGGAUUCCGCAGUGCCGACUGAAUCCGGUGUUCUGGGUGGACUGGACAGGUCACUGUGCUCAAGAUCUGUACUGGCUUCAUUUACAGGUGACAAACAGGAACGAAAUGGGACAGGUGUCUGGGAGAGACUGCCCUUUCUCUUGGCUCUCUUUUUCUUUAGUUUUUGAAGCCUCACAUUGUCUUUGGCUGGUUUCGGGAGUAAAGGUGGUGGAUAUUGCUGGGAAAGCCCCGACUCAAACCCGUUGCUCACUUCCAUCAGCAUAUCAAGUCCUGCAAAAGAUACAGAGCCUGAAGAAAAAUGGAAGAGGGACAUGCCAUUUAGGAUUUCCCCCCAAAACAUUUACAUCUAAAACCGUAUCGCCUUUGUGAUUUCCGUCAUCCAUAUAUUUGAACAUAUAUUAUGCCGCUUUACUCAAAUGUUGUAAAGCUUACCUAUCACACCUAUUACUUUUUAGCAACAUUUUGGAAACUUUGUUUUUAGACAUGUAUUCAUUUAUGCUACAAUACUUUAUCUUGUAAUAUAAUAAAAUAACUAUAUUUUUUCUUAA